UUCCGGGUGAUGUCAUACUACUUUUAUGACCUAGUUUCUAUUUUACGCAUGUGAUUUCUGUUUAAUUCUAUUGACUGAAGUUAGUCACCAAGUCCAGCUCACAUGAGAUGGGACAGGUUUGCACAAAGAGUCUCACACUGUCACCCAGGCUGGAGUGCAGUGGCGUGAUCUCGGCUCACUGCAACCUCCACCUCCUGGCUUCAAGUGAUUCUCCUGCCUCAGCCACCUGAGUAACUGGGACUACAGAAACCCUGUCUCCCCAGGAGAAAAAGUCCUCAUUGUUGCAAGAUCACUAAAAGAUUUACGGAAGAAAUGGGCUCUUUUGUUUUUGUUCUUCAUUCAUCUUCUUUCCUUAUGCCGAAAAAAAUAUAUUUGCAUUCUGAAAUCAACAGCAUCAGUCAAGUAUGCUUUUCAUAGACUAACCUCUAAAAAUUGUUUCUUUGAACCUUUUGGAGGCUUUGAUGGUAAAACUGAAAAGUCCCAAACUAUUUUCGUUCAUCCCACUUGGAAUACAUCACAAAUUAUGUUGCUGGAAUUAAU
rnacentral:lncRNA from 1 species